rnacentral:rRNA from 1 species
UACGUAGGGGGCAAGCGUUGUCCGGAUUCAUUGGGCGUAAAGAGCGUGUAGGCGGCCAGGUAGGUCGGUUGUGAAAACUGGAGGCUCAACCUUCAGAGGUCGACCGAAACCAUCUGGCUAGAGUCCGGGAGAGGAGAGUGGAAUUCCUGGUGUAGCGGUGGAAUACGUAGAGAUUGGGAAGAACACCAGUGGCGAAGGCGGCUAUCUGGACGGUUACUGACGCUAAGACUCGAAAGCGUGGGGAGCAAACAGG